rnacentral:rRNA from 1 species
CCUACGGGAGGCAGCAGUGGGGAAUAUUGGGCAAUGGGCGCAAGCCUGACCCAGCAACGCCGCGUGAAGGAAGAAGGCUUUCGGGUUGUAAACUUCUUUUGUCAGGGAAGAGUAAAAUGCGGUACCUUACGGAUAAGGCACGGCUAACUACGGGCCCGGAGCCGCGGGAAUAAGGAGGGGGCAAGCGUUUGCCGGAUUUACUGGGUGGAAAGGGCGUGGGGCCGGGUUGGCAAGUCAGAUGUGAAAUCAUAGGGCUUAACCGCAGAACUGCAUUUUAAACUGUGGAUUUUGAGUACUGGAGAGGCAGACGGAAUUCCUAGUGUAGCGGUGAAAUGCGUAGAUAUGAGGAGGAACACCAGUGGCGAAGGCGGUCUGCUGGACAGCAACUGACGGUGAGGCGCGAAAGCGUGGGGAGCAAACAGGAUUAGAUACCCUUGUAGUC